AGCGUAGGCGGUUAUUUAAGUUUAAUGUGAAAUCCUGUAGCUUAACUACAGAACUGCAUUGGAUACUGGGUAACUGGAGUAUGGAAGAGGUAAGCGGAAUUACUAGUGUAGCGGUAAAAUGCGUAGAGAUUAGUAGGAACACCAGCGGCGAAGGCGGCUUACUGGGACAUAACUGACGCUGAGGCUCGAAAGCGUGGGGAGCAAACA
rnacentral:rRNA from 1 species